rnacentral:rRNA from 1 species
CAGCCGCCGCGGUAAUACGAGGGGGGCAAGCGUUGUUCGGAAUUAUUGGGCGUAAAGGGCGCGUAGGCGGUUUGACAAGUUUGGUGUGAAAUCUAUGGGCUCAACCCAUAGCCUGCAUCGAAAACUGUCGGGCUUGAGUAUGGGAGAGGUGAGUGGAAUUUCCGGUGUAGCGGUGAAAUGCGUAGAUAUCGGAAGGAACACCUGUGGCGAAAGCGGCUCACUGGACCAUUACUGACGCUGAGGCGCGAAAGCUAGGGGAGCAAACAGGAUUAGAUACCCCCGUAGUCCCUGUCUCUUAUAC